AGAAUCAACGCUGGCGGCGCGCUUAACACAUGCAAGUCGAACGAGAAAGCGCCCUUCGGGGUGUGAGUAAAGUGGCGCACGGGUGAGUAACACGUGGGUAAUCUGCCCUUCGGUGGGGAAUAACUCCGCGAAAGUGGAGCUAAUACCGCAUACGAUCUUCGGAUGAAAGGCUUAGGUCGCCGAAGGAGGAGCCCGCGGUCGAUUAGCUUGUUGGUGAGGUAACGGCUCACCAAGGCUGCAAUCGAUAGCCGGCCUGAGAGGGCACACGGCCACACUGGCACUGAGACACGGGCCAGACUCCUACGGGAGGCAGCAGUGAGGAAUCUUGCACAAUGGGGGAAACCCUGAUGCAGCGACGCCGCGUGAGUGAUGACGCCUUUCGGGGUGUAAAGCUCUUUCAGUGGGAACGAUAAUGACGGUACCCACAGAAGAAGGUGCGGCUAACUACGUGCCAGCAGCCGCGGUAAUACGUAGGCACCAAGCGUUGUUCGGAGUUACUGGGCGUAAAGAGUGCGUAGGCGGUUUUGUAAGUUCGGUGUGAAAUCUCCCGGCUCAACUGGGAGGGUGCAUCGAAAACUGCAGAGCUUGAGCAUGGGAGAGGAAAGCGGAAUUCCUGGUGUAGCAGUGAAAUGCGUAGAUAUCAGGAGGAACACCGGCGGUGUAGACGGCUUUCUGGACCAUUGCUGACGCUGAGGCACGAAAGCGUGGGGAGCAAACAGGAUUAGAUACCCUGGUAGUCCACGCCCUAAACGAUGCAUACUUGGUGUGGGCACUUCAGUGUGUCCGUGCCGGAGCUAACGCGUUAAGUAUGCCGCCUGGGGAGUACGGUCGCAAGGCUG
rnacentral:rRNA from 1 species